CGCAGAGCUCGUGUUGCUUUUGCAGGACAGCAUACCUGUAGGUGGGCCGCUGCUCUUGCGCUUCAGCCAUCUGUCCACCGUCUCCGCGCUCACGCUCUCCAGCACAAACUCGUCCAGCAUCUGCGGGUGCAGGGAAAGAACGAGAGCAUGUGAUUCAGGAGGACGUCAGGAUCUCGGGGGCUUAGUGCAGACGUCCGUCAUCUCACACUGACCCCGCUGGCAUGAUCGCUGCUGGACAGCUCAAAGGCCACAGACCACAGACCCUCAGCGAACCCCUUCCGAGUGACACAGGGCCGAGGCUGGAGCGGUGUGGCAUAGGAGACCAGUUAACCUCGAGUCAGGAUCAGUAUUAAUGCCAGUGCCACGGUGUGUCAGUUUGAUGUAUCUGUAAUGUGUCCUGCUAAAAUGUAUGGUUUGGCCUGUAAAAAGGCAUAAAAAGAACUGUGCAAUGCCAUUUGGAACUCUAUCCAAAAGGAGGGAAAUAUGCCAUGUUUAAUUAAUAAAAUAAAUAAAAUCAUUGUCCCUGUAAAA